UUUUUCUUACGGCAAUUCCGAUUUAAUUGGAAAAUUAAAUUAAAAAGGAAAGCCUCCCCCUCGUUCAAGUGAAUGCUUUUCCUUUCCUCUCUUCCUUCCAAAUCACCCCAAACCCCUAACCCUAACCUCCAUGUUAUUGCUACUGCCCCCAGCUAUCGUUGUAACCCCCGCUAUCACCCUAAUCAACCCCCACCCCCCGGUCUUCCCCACCGCAUGUACCAUUCUUGUCCAUGUCUCUCGUACACCAUUAUGCCGUCCGCCACUGCCCAAUUAGUUUGCCAUUUGUCUAUGCAGUAUUGCAUCUCCGCCUUCAACCUUUUCCUUUCAUUUCCUUUGAAUUCAAAGGUUGAAGGAUGGAAAUUGUUGCAUCACCUCGUAUGGUUCCCAAGUGUCUUCCUCUUCGGGUAUCCCCUGCCGUUUCACCAAAACCUGUUUUUGCUAGGACUCAUCCUUCUUAUUCAUUUGAUGGUCCAAAAUCAGCUGAGUUUGGACUCUUGAUAAACCACUAUUUUAUGGUUUUAUAGGGCAGGAAUGAGUUAGAGGAUGGAAAAGAAGCAUGCAAAAAUGGAAGGAACACAAGAAAUUAAGGAUUUCAGAUUCUGGUAGAGACACGUACGCAUGGGCGAUGCGUACGCGUGACCGGUGCAGCAGGCAAGCGACGCGUACACGUGGCUAACGCAUAUGCGUGGCAAAGCGUCACAUGCUGCAGAUAUCAGAACUCGCUGGGAGUGAUUUCUGGGCUGUUUUUGGCCCAAUUUCAAGCCCAAAAAUGGGGGAAUCAAUCAUUCAUACUUUUUCAUCCAUACACACAUUAGGUUUAGAUGUAGAAUUCUAGAGAGAGGCUCUCUCCUCUCUCCAGGUUUUAGGGUUUUUAGUCCUGUUCCUCCUCCAAUUCAGAUUUCAAUCUUGCUUUAAUUUAGUUUUCUUCUACUUUUAUUUGUUCUAACACUUUAAUUAUCUACUUCCCUUAUGAAUUCCUUUAAUUUGCUAAUUUAGUUUGAGUUCAUGUGUCA